UACGAAGGGGGGCUAGCGUUGUUCGGAAUUACUGGGCGUAAAGCGCACGUAGGCGGAUUGUUAAGUUAGGGGGUGAAAUCCCAGGGCUCAACCCUGGAACUGCCUUUAAUACUGGCAAUCUCGAGUCCGAGAGAGGUGAGUGGAAUUCCGAGUGUAGAGGUGAAAUUCGUAGAUAUUCGGAGGAACACCAGUGGCGAAGGCGGCUCACUGGCUCGGUACUGACGCUGAGGUGCGAAAGCGUGGGGGAGCAAACAGG
rnacentral:rRNA from 1 species